CGGGGUCGGAACUUCGGUUUCGGCUUACGUGGCGCACGGGUGAGUAACACGUGGGAAUCUGCCCAUCUAUGGGGAAUAACUGCGGGAAACUGCAGCUAAUACCGCAUACGCCCUUCGGGGGAAAGGCUUCGGCCGUAGAUGGAUGAGCCCGCGUCCGAUUAGCUAGUUGGUGGGGUAAUGGCCUACCAAGGCGACGAUCGGUAGCUGGUCUGAGAGGAUGAUCAGCCACACUGGGACUGAGACACGGCCCAGACUCCUACGGGAGGCAGCAGUGGGGAAUAUUGGACAAUGGGCGAAAGCCUGAUCCAGCAAUGCCGCGUGAGUGAUGAAGGUCUUCGGAUUGUAAAGCUCUUUCGACGGGGAAGAUAAUGACGGUACCCGUAGAAGAAGCCCCGGCUAACUUCGUGCCAGCAGCCGCGGUAAUACGAAGGGGGCUAGCGUUGUUCGGAUUUACUGGGCGUAAAGCGUGCGUAGGCGGCUUAUCAAGUCAGAAGUGAAAGCCCGGGGCUCAACUCCGGAAUGGCUUUUGAGACUGGUAGGCUGGAGUUCGGGAGAGGGUAGUGGAAUUCCCAGUGUAGAGGUGAAAUUCGUAGAUAUUGGGAAGAACACCGGUG
rnacentral:rRNA from 1 species